GUAAAUAUAUCCAUGCAGUUGCGCGCGCGUUUUAUGUAAUCAUGACCCAUGCUUACUGUCUGCCAGCAGAGCAAAUUUUCACUCAUUUCCCUGCCUUUUACUCGCUAGGAUCUUUCUCCAGCUCCGCCCAUUCAUGCCUCAUCGCCCAUAAUUUAGGCAUCCUCACAGCUGCUUUCUAUUAAUAGGCUACAGCAUCGCUGUUGACACGAUAUAAUAUGUUUUCGGAUAUGCAAUUAUCUAUAGCCACUGCUGCCUGCAUAUUAUGGCCACACAAUGUUUAUAAUCUCACAGAACAGUAACAAUUACUUUCUUUUUUAUGAUUUCGAUUGCUAUCAUAUCCACAAUCUUUUCCUGCAUGAUCUAGUUCUUGCUGCUUCUCCCAUAUAGCAGAAGGUGACAGCGUUACGAUGCGUUGCCAUCACCGUGUGAUCAAAGCUCUUAAAGUGCGUGUUGGACAGAAAGGUGUUACUAUCUUUUCACUGUUGUUGAGGAUAGUGGCAGAAUAACGACCGGAGAGACCAAUCGUCAUUUACAAAUACUUGAGAGAGCACAGUGAAGAUGAUUUCCAGAAAAUCACGUUCCUACUGAGAGUUGGCUACAGCAUUAGUGAACUCCACAGUAUGGAGUGGAUAGGGGCAGAAUUUCUGUUGCUUUUAAUUUUCCCGUUAAAUUCAGCCCAGAGCUCUGAACUACCAGUAAUGGAGAGUGACAUGUUUCCUGACUUUGCCUAUCAACCUGGGCCAUCAUACCUGAGUCUCAUUCUUUUGGCUCUUACUGUGGGUCUGUCUGGCAGUGUCUACCUUUGUUUGUUGCGGUACAUUUGCACAGGCUGUUGCAAGCCUGUAAUCGUUAGACCUGAGGAUGACAGCAUGUCAGGAGUGGUGUAAAAGCCUUGUAUGUGUGGGGGGUAGGUUUAUUUGUAUGCUAAAACUGUUAAUCAUUUUGAGUAGUAGCUGGCAUUGUCUGUCAGCAGUCGUUCAGUUAAUUGUUGUGGCUACACAAGGCUUUGUUGUAAACAAAGUACUAUGGCUGAAAAAAGGUCAUGCAUUCUCAGAAACAAUGGUACAAGAAGGUACAAAAGUUGUUAUUGGGGGGUGGUACCUUUUCAAAAAGUACACUUCUACCUAAAAGGUGCAUAUUGGUACCUAAAAGUUAUUGGUACCUUAGAGCGAAGUUCGUCACAACAUGUAUGUAGCCCGUCAUGUGUGUGGUACGUAAUUUCAAAAGAUGUGUUCUGCGAGUCGAGUGAACUUAUCUGCAUCACGUGUCUUGUCAAAAUAAGUGCCUGCCGCAGACGCGUCUAAAGGGUUUAUGAUAAAACAGACGCUCGCGUUUGCCAGAUACUCACAUAAUCUCAUGCAAAAUCAGAGUUUACUGUUAAGGGAGUGUCUUGCGUGUAUUUUGUGAACGUAAGCGUCUCAUUUAUCAUAAACGGUUUUGACGCGUGUGCAGCAGGCACUUAUUUUGACAAAACACGUGAUGCACAUGGUUCACAUGAUGCAAAAAACACAUAUUUUGAAAACACGAGAAACACACAUGACACUCCGAACACACAUUUUGGAUUUGCGCCCCUCGAAAGGACAGUCACGAGCCGCCACUGUUCUGUACCAAAAUGGUACAUAUUAGGACCUUUUUUUUAAAAAGGUGGCAACUUUUGUACCUUUUUUACUGUCUUUGGGUUUUUAUAUUUUUAAGAAAAUGCUGUAAAUCAUUUGUAAAAUCAUUAACAAGGAAUCAUUCUUCUUUUGUGGGUAACAAGUUGAAGCCUCCUCUGAAGGACAGCAGAAUGUCAAACUUUGUAUUUAUAAAACAUGAGUUAUGUUAAGAUUGAUGUAGUUAACUAUUAUACAUAUAUUUAAUUUUUUUUUAAAAUUUAAAGAACUUUUUUUUUCUUGUAAACAUACCCUGUUUAUUAAACUAGUAUGCUCUCAGAAAAAGUGAUGAUUUCGUUCUAGCAACUGUUGCCAGGGAGCUACCUGAAUCUAGUUGCUAUGGUAUUAGUUCCAUUUUUAUACCUCUAGAUGGGGCUGUUGCAUGAGCUGUUUACACCAAUGAGCCAUUACAUUAUGACCACCCUUGUUCUAGAGCUGCAGCAAUGAGCGAACCUGGCAACCAAACAAUGGCACAGGUACAGUUCAUAGAGCAGUGUUUAUACCACCCAAUGAGUGUUUGGUGUCAGAAUUGGAAAGCUAAUGAUUCAUCGGAUUUUUAUUGUGAUGGCACGGCACCUUGGAACUUCAGUCUCAGAAACAGCAUGCCUUGUGGGUUGUUCAUGUGCCACUGUGGUGAGUAUACAGUAUUCCCAAAGUGGUGCACGGAUGGCCAGAUGACAAACUGCAGCUCUAUGGUGCCAGGGGGGUGUAGAGAUGGAUGCCCAUUAUUGACAGUGGCAGCGUAGCCGACGACUCAGCCAGGUCCCCAUUCUAACUGCACGGCAUCACCAACAGUGCAUGAAAUGGGCUCAAGAUCAUUGUUAUUGGGCAGUGGAUGGUUGGAAGAAAGUAGUCUUGUCUGAGACUUACUCCUGGUGCAUCAUGUUGAUGGACGAGGUCAGAUAUGCUUAUUACCAAUAGGCUAUGGCACCUGGAUAAACUGUUGAAUGAACAGGGUGUGGGUGAUGUUUACUAGGGACACUUUAGGACCCGUUAUCACAAUUGCACCAUCACCUCGCUGUGGACCAAGUGCACUUGUUCAUUGCAACUGUGUUCCAUGAAUAUUAACGCGCCAUGCAACACUGCCAGAAUCAUCAAGGAGUGGUUCGAAGAACAUGAUGGUGAAUUUCCGGUAAUGCAUUGGCCUCCAAAUUCACCUGACUUGAACCAAAUUGAACAUAGUGCUUCGACUUGGAAAAAUGAGUUUGAGCUACAUCACCACCACCCCGCAAUAUACUGGAGGGCCUGCUGUUGACAUGGUACCAGAUACCCCAGGAAACCUAUUGCCACCACGUCAAAUCAGUGCUUCGCCUCAUAGCUGCUGUUUUGUAGGCUAAAGUAAGCCCUUCAGGAUAUUACGCUGGUGGUCAUAAUGUAUUGGCUUAUCAGUGUACAUCACUUACAUGCUACACACAGUAGAUGCUAUGGAAAUACUUUUGUAGAUGACUGCAUUGUAAUUUAAACAUAUUAAAACUUAUUGUAAAUGU